AUUGAACGCUGGCGGCAGGCCUAACACAUGCAAGUCGAGCGGGGUUUUCGGACCUAGCGGCGGACGGGUGAGUAAUGCGUAGGAAGCUACCCGAUAGAGGGGGAUACCGAGUUGGAAACGACUGUUAAUACUGCAUAACGUCUACGGACCAAAGUGUGGGACCUUCGGGCCACAUGCUAUCGGAUGCGCCUACGUGGGAUUAGCUAGUUGGUAAGGUAAUGGCUCACCAAGGCGACGAUCUCUAGCUGGUUUGAGAGGAUGAUCAGCCACACUGGAACUGAGACACGGCCCAAACUCCUACGGGAGCAGCAGUGGGGAAUCUUGG
rnacentral:rRNA from 1 species